rnacentral:rRNA from 1 species
AGAGUUGUAUCCUGGCUCAGAUUGAACGCUGGCGGCAUGCCUUACACAUGCAAGUCGAACGGUAGAGGGGGCAACCCCUUGAGAGUGGCGAACGGGUGAGUAAUGCAUCGGAACGUGCCCAGUUGUGGGGGAUAACGUAGCGAAAGCUACGCUAAUACCGCAUACGACCUGAGGGUGAAAGCGGGGGACUCGCAAGAGCCUCGCGCAAUUGGAGCGGCCGAUGUCAGAUUAGGUAGUUGGUGGGGUAAAAGCCUACCAAGCCGACGAUCUGUAGCUGGUCUGAGAGGACGACCAGCCACACUGGGACUGAGACACGGCCCAGACUCCUACGGGAGGCAGCAGUGGGGAAUUUUGGACAAUGGGCGCAAGCCUGAUCCAGCCAUGCCGCGUGCAGGAAGAAGGCCUUCGGGUUGUAAACUGCUUUUGUCAGGGAAGAAAUCCCUUGGGUUAAUACCUCGGGGGGAUGACGGUACCUGAAGAAUAAGCACCGGCUAACUACGUGCCAGCAGCCGCGGUAAUACGUAGGGUGCAAGCGUUAAUCGGAAUUACUGGGCGUAAAGCGUGCGCAGGCGGUUUUGUAAGACAGAGGUGAAAUCCCCGGGCUCAACCUGGGAACUGCCUUUGUGACUGCAAAGCUUGAGUGCGGCAG